GACUGCAGUGCAGCUGGAUUUGAAGGGCUGGUGGAAGCUGUGAGUGCAGCUGGAAGAUGAAUAGCGUCCCAGGCUGCUUGAGGAUGGCAGAGCAACAUGUUACUGACCAGUACUGCUUAUUUUCCAAUUGCUCAGUGGCAAUCCCCUGCCUGGAACAGAUGCUGAAACCCGCCUAAAGCCAGCAGGAUGACACAUUUCUGAACUCCAUGGAUCAGGAAGAAGAGCACAUUCUUUUCUCAGUUAUUUAGUGUUGAUGAAGUUCCUGUGCAUCAGCUGCACCUCAUCUUCCAGAAGGAAUGCAAUUCUGAUCCA